rnacentral:rRNA from 1 species
UCAUGGCUCAGGAUGAACGCUAGCGAUAGGCCUAACACAUGCAAGUCGAGGGGCAGCACAUGAGUAGCAAUACGAUGGUGGCGACCGGCGCACGGGUGAGUAACACGUAUGCAACCUACCUUUAACAGGGGAAUAACCCGUUGAAAAACGGACUAAUACUCCAUAACACAGGGGUCCCGCAUGGGAAUAUUUGUUAAAGAUUAAUCGGUUGAAGAUGGGCAUGCGUUCCAUUAGCUUGUUGGUGAGGUAACGGCUCACCAAGGCCACGAUGGAUAGGGGAACUGAGAGGUUUAUCCCCCACACUGGAACUGAGACACGGUCCAGACUCCUACGGGAGGCAGCAGUGAGGAAUAUUGGUCAAUGGAGGCAACUCUGAACCAGCCAAGUCGCGUGAAGGAAUGAAGGUCUUAUGGAUUGUAAACUUCUUUUGCAAGGGAAUAAAGUGGGGGACGUGUCCUCCUUUGCAUGUACCUUGCGAAUAAGGAUCGGCUAACUCCGUGCCAGCAGCUGC